GAUGAACGCUGGCGGCGUGCCUAAUACAUGCAAGUCGAGCGAACAGAUAAGGAGCUUGCUCCUUUGACGUUAGCGGCGGACGGGUGAGUAACACGUGGGUAACCUACCUAUAAGACUGGGAUAACUUCGGGAAACCGGAGCUAAUACCGGAUAACAUUUGGAACCGCAUGGUUCUAAAGUGAAAGAUGGUUUUGCUAUCACUUAUAGAUGGACCCGCGCCGUAUUAGCUAGUUGGUAAGGUAACGGCUUACCAAGGCGACGAUACGUAGCCGACCUGAGAGGGUGAUCGGCCACACUGGAACUGAGACACGGUCCAGACUCCUACGGGAGGCAGCAGUAGGGAAUCUUCCGCAAUGGGCGAAAGCCUGACGGAGCAACGCCGCGUGAGUGAUGAAGGGUUUCGGCUCGUAAAACUCUGUUAUUAGGGAAGAACAAAUGUGUAAGUAACUGUGCAAGUCUUGACGGUACCUAAUCAGAAAGCCACGGCUAACUACGUG
rnacentral:rRNA from 1 species